UGUUGACUCCAGGCACUUCGGCGCGGCGGUGCUCCUGGGUGUUGGAGGCUUUUCACCAUUGCGUGCUGGAACUUGAGUUUCUCCAGACCAGAGCCCACGGGUACCCUUGAGCUGGCUCAGGACCAGUCCAGGAUGAAACCACUGCACAGAGCAGCCCACUGCUGGUCCUGGAGAACUGGACUGGAUACAGGCUUCCAUCCCAAAACCAGGUGGUCCCUGGCUGACCCAGACUGAGGUAACGGUCUUCUCCCAGCUCUUCAACUGGGAGUUGUUGGCUUUAUGAAUUCAGAUCCUUUCAGCCUAAUUCAGCUCACCCCGAAUUGAGUUCUGCAGGCACUUUCAACCGGUUUGCUGCAUGAAAGCCAGCAAAUACUCUGUAGAAUCCACACUAAAAAUAAACAGUUAAGGGCCAAGAUUUCAGUUAAAAUAAAGCCUUCAAUGAACUUCACAAGUUUCCAAAACUUGAUCCCUCGGCUCAGAGCCAGACUGAAGUUUG
rnacentral:lncRNA from 1 species